UGCCCUCUAAAGGGGAAAACAUUGUGGGGAUUCUUGGGCAGAGCCAGAAUUGUAGCCAGCAUUGCCUGUUCUUUUAACCUAUGGUGCCUCCAGAUGACUGGCCCUGAGGUAGAAAAGGUGCUUACCAGUCACUUGGCUUUGAAAAUGCUGACACAACUUGUAAGGAGGUACGUAGGGAUUACAGUUAGAUUGUAUCUGGACAUAAUAUGUUCUAGUCACCUUUAAAAAAUAUCUCUUGCAGCAGUCCUUAAGUAAGUUAUAUGCUCAGAGUGAGGGAAAUGGUGCCUGUUACAUAAGUAGAAAAAAAAACAGAACAUUUUACAUGUGUUUGCAGCCACAUGGAUUUCAAAUUUUAAUAAAAGCAUGCCCCUUUCCCUCCAUCUCCCGUGAUCUGCACAGCCUCCCAGGUUUAUACCCAAGAUGUCAGAGAGGAAUUCAUUGGGUUAACAAAUGCCGUUUACAAAUGGGUAUUCAUCAGCAACCCCAAGAGAGCCUGGGAAGUGGCUGAUAACCCUGUAAACACUAGGCACUGUUACCCUGAGAGUCCCCAUGAAUAACUCUCAGCCACCAAAAUGCACCAUUGAUCAGCUCUGUUAGGCAGCCUCAGGUAGUGGGGGUUCAACCUCAGUUCCACCACCUGACUUACACCGACUCCUAACGUGGGACAGGGCCAAGCCAGCAGCUACAGUAGGACUUAUUUUAGGCAGAAACAGCCAGAGCCUGUAGAGACUGCAGAUUCACUCAGGGGUAAUAGAUGACGAUUAUGGAGGGGAAAUUAAGGUUCUGGUUCAGUUACUCUAAACUUGGUUUGCUAUUACACCUAAAUUAAAAAUUGUACCCCUAGAGAUAUUCCCUAAUACUAAGCAAGGAAAGGUGCUCAUGGCUUAGACCUAUAAAGAUUGGGGUUUUGGGUCUUCAAACCAUGUUACUGAGUACAAGGAGUGACAGAAAAUUACUCAGAAAUGAUGCUGAACUUAAAUAGUAAAGCUUUUCUUGGGCUUAUUGAUACCAGGGCAGAUGUGCCCAUGAUUGUGGAAUGAUACACUGGCCUCCAGCGUAGCCACUUCAGCCAAUCACAACCAGCCUACAGGGAGUCGGCAAGGUGUGGGCACCAUCACCAAGUUCACUGUAAUUAGAUGUCAGGAUGCUGGAGGUCAUCAAGGAGCUUUAGGCUGUAUACCCUGCCCAAUUUGCUUGUGAUUUUAUGGGACUGACAUAUCUGAGCCAAAUGGGAAUCCUGUUAUAUAGCCAAAGCCAUACUAUUAUUAGAUAGUACACCAGGGAUUUAAUCCUUUAUGGGGUUUGGGUAAAAUACAAGUUGCAGCUACUCCCAUAAAUCUUCGGGAUGAUUAUAAAAGGCUGGGCAUAGUGGGAUGUCAUCUGACUGCUGGUGUUCACUAGCAGCCUUGGUCAGUGUUACAUGGCAUGCCUGGUGGAAAUUCGCCACCCAGAUCACUUGGCCAUCAGAGAAGCUCUCUGGGUAGAUCAGUGACCACUCACAGGGGGGAAAUUGCCUCUACUGCUUUGGUGGAGAACCAGUUACAGGGCAGUUCCUUAUCCGCUGGAACACCCCUGUCAGGAAAUCAGGUAAAUAGAGGCUGUUCCAGGAUUCAGGAGCUAUAAACAGAGUCAUGCAGGCAGUGGGCCAGGACCACCAACCAUCAUCUGUUGCUGUACCAUCACAUUUUUAUUUAUUAUAGCUGACUUAAAGCAUUGCUUUUCACCAUUUGGCCACAUCCUGACUAUCUGGAAAAGUUUGCUUUUACCCCUCUCCUGCCUAAUCAUAGUCUAUCUGCACAGCAUUUUCCCAGGGUGUGAAAGCAGCCCUACUGUGUGUUAGGAAUUUGUUGUUGAAACGCCAGGGCUCACUGUAUGGGUGAUAUUCUUUCUUACUAGUCAUCUGAUUCUUCCAAACUGGCAGUGAGCUUUGUUGGUCUCAAAAAGAGACCUCUAGACCUGUUUCUCCAGAAAAGAUUCAAAAGGCAUCUCCAUUCUAGUACCUAGGUAAGAAUAUAGAGGAGCAUGCUGUGUGCCUUCAAAAGCUAGAAACUUGCAAGGAUUUUCUCAAAACUCUUAUGAUUUUCAAGAAAUAGUUGGGAGAUGUAAUUGACUCAGACCUGUACUUAAGCUUACUAUCCAAGAACUUUCUCCAUUUUCCAAAAUUUAGGAGGGGACACUGGUCCCUCUUCUCCAUGCCAUACUGCUCUGCUUUUGAGGCUCUGAUGGCUCUAGCUGUAUGACAGUGUCUGUGUCCAGGUAUAUAUAUGGGUCCUAGGCAUGCCUCUUUCACUAGCAAUCCCAAAAUCACCCAUGACCCCUACUGGGGCACUCUGGCAAUUGCAAAGCAUUUUGAAAUAGUUAGAUUUAGGGCAUUCCUCAUCCAGAGUUUUGAACCUUUGCUAUGAGUUGGUGGCAAAAUUAAUCUCAAAGGGCCUCAAACACACUACAGGACUGCUGGAUAAAGAGCCAGAAGUAAAUACCAUCCCAUAUGCAGGCAAUCAACAACAUGGGCUACAGUCAAUUGCCUGGUAGUGCUCUUUGGCUGAUUACCCUGGCCAGCUUGAUUCUCAUCUUUCACCAUCCAAGAUAUACUCACUGUACAUCCAUCCAUGGGGUUAUUUUCCUGAGGCCAUACAGUCUUCACCCCUUGCUUUAGCUAGAACUGUCCUUACAGCCACUUGCGGCAGCGCUGUAGCUACCUACCACUCCUACUUGGGCUCUGAAGUACAGUGCACUCAAUGAGCUCAACUCUGCAGUCUACAUAGUUUUGAAAGAUGUUGCCUUCCCUCCUGUCAAUAUUUACAGCCAAUGCUACUAUGUAGUAAGGCAAGCCUAUGUAGGUCGGGCACCAGAUCAAAAGCUAUACCACUCUUGCUUCCAUGUCAGAGCCCUUGCUUUGUUUGCCAUAUUUGAUCACAUUCAGCUCUCCCCAGGCCAUUGGCUGAUGCUAAUGCAUGGCUGACACUUGGUCUCAGGGUCCUUGCUCUGCUUCCCUGUUGUUACCUUGAUAAAAGCCUGUGAUAGUCAUUCUCUGUCAACAAAACGCCUCCUCUUUACAAAAGAAUCUGCCAUUUUCUGAGAACAGGAUAGGCUAAUAGUUAAGCUAUGCACUCACUGCAGUCCUUUCCAGCUUGUCACAUAUGAUGGUGGCAUUGACCCCGGGAUGUUACAUCCCAGUGCUGUGUGGCAGAUGGAUGUUCUUCCUGUCAUCUCCUUUGGGAGAGUAGUUUGUGCAUGUUUCUGUUGCUAUCUGUUCUCAUGUUGUUUAUAUCCUGUCUACUCAGGGAGGUUGCCAUCCUAGUAUUUCUCAUUGCCUUUUGCAUUUGUAUUAUGGGCCAUCCACAACACCUAAAGAUGGACAGUGCUCCUGCUUACAACUUUUCUGCAUUAAAAAAACUGUUGUGUCCAACAUGAAGUAGCUUACAACAUGGGCAUUCCUUACAACCCUCAGAGACAGGUCACUCAGACAACAGUUAGAAAAGCAAGAGGGGGAGAUUUUUUGCCCCUACCAAGUCUCUAAACAAGGCUUUAUUUACAUUAAAUUUUAAAUCAUAUAGAAGAUGGCAUUAUGGCAACAGAAUAGUACUGAUGACCACAGGACAGGGGAAUAAAACCUAAGAUGCUAUGGAAACAUGUCAUGACAGGAAAAGGUUUGGCCUGUUCCCCGUGCUAAUGUGGGGAAGAGGGUAUUCUUGUGUCUUCCCUGAAGGUGUGGAACAGCCACUUUGGGUACCUUCAAGGCAUCUAAAGAGCUGUGGAUGCAGUGAAGUUCCUGGUUGCAGGUGUGAAGAGACCAAGACCGGAGCCCACAGAGAAACCCAAAGUGUGGCCCUUGAAGCCAGUCGAGCGCUCUCCAAGGAGGAGGCCUCCUGCACAAACUUCAAGGAGGGCGACACCACCAACAUGGGGUCAGAUAAAAAGGCUGAUGCAAAUGUCGGAGGAGGGAGCACGAGGCCUGGGGUUGGGAAAUAACCCGGCGGCUAUAUUUCUGAUGUGUCUGGUAAUCAUAUCUAUCCAGUCUGGUGUUGAGCAUUACAGCGAACCACCUCUGGACUAAACGUGGAGAGUCAUCGUGAACAUCUAAGAAAUAAGAAAGGGGGAGAUGUAGGGAGCAGAGGAAGGCCUAAGUGAAUGUGUAUUGUUUGACAUGAGCACGGCUAUGUCAAGGACCCCAGUGCCUCAGAUCCAUGGACAUGGCAAAGCCUUUUCCGGGUCAGGCUCAGGGCCAAAGCCUUCCCCUGGUCCCAGCACGAAUGUUGACAGUGUGCACAGAAAGCAACAACUGCAGCUUCCUCCCUCCUCCCAACUGCAGCUUCCUCCUCCCAACUGCAGCUUCCUCCUCCUGGAUGUUUACAGCCUGAGACUGUUCCCUUACAGAGACCUCCCACCAAGACUAACCCCUCCUCCUCGUGCUGUACAUAAUAAACAUGCUGAGUUUCCGCGUUGCUUAGUAAGUGCUCUCCAUCAUAGAGAGCAAAGCCUACCGGUUCUCAGCUUUUCUGUA